rnacentral:rRNA from 1 species
AACGAACGCUGGCGGCGUGGAUAAGACAUGCAAGUCGAACGAGGUUACUUUUGGUAGCAAUACUAGAAGUAACUUAGUGGCGAACGGGUGCGUAACACGUGGGCAAUCUGCCUUAAAGUGGGGGAUAGCUCGGCGAAAGCCGAAUUAAUACCGCAUGUGAUCAGCUAAGACAUCUUAGCGACAUCAAAGCCGGGGCAACCUGGCGCUUUUGAGGAACCCGCGGCCUAUCAGCUAGUUGGUGAGGUAAUGGCUCACCAAGGCUUUGACGGGUAGCUGGUCUGAGAGGACGACCAGUCACACUGGAACUGAGACACGGUCCAGACACCUACGGUGGCAGCAGUCGAGAAUUUUUCUCAAUGGGGGCAACCCUGAAGGAGC